GUAGUGGGAUGACAGGCUGAAAGCGGCGAUUCCGCCGUUUUUAGCCAGUCUUUCUAUCAUGUUUCGCGCACAACUUUUUAACAAUACCUUUUUUUUAUCAAACCAAACCCAUAACCAAUAACAAAUAAAACCAAAACAUUAACCAAAGAAAACUCGUGACGGUGGAUGUCUAGGCUCCAGCAACGAUGAAGAACGCAGCAAAAUGCGAUACGUAGUGCGAAUUGCAGAAUCCGUGAAUCAUCGAAUCUUUGAACGCAAGUUGCGCUUCGCGGGCAAUCCUGCGAGCAUGUCUGUUUGAGUGUCCGCACAAAUGAGACUUUUGCUUUUUUCCAACAGAGGAAGAAGCUGCUUGAGGGUGUUUCUGUCCACACUUUUUCGGUGUGCGUGCAGAAUGUUUCCGUGCAACCCGAAAGGGGGAAGCGGUCACCUGAAGAAAAGCUUUGUAUGGGAUGUUGUUUUUGUCGAGUGCAGAGCGGUUGUGGAAGGUGCAACUGCAGGAUUGACUAGACAAUGCUCUUUCCCCACAGGAGUAGAAUACACGACUGUGAAAGGGCGGAGGAUGGUUGAUUCCGGGCAAAAUGCCCUCUGUCUUGAACCAGAAAGACUUCCAUUGUAACAUAAACAUUAUAACAUUUUGGAUCUCAAAUCAGACAAGACGACCCGCUGAAUUAA
rnacentral:rRNA from 3 species